CCUACGGGAGGCUGCAGUGAGGAAUAUUGGUCAAUGGCCGGAAGGCUGAACCAGCCAUGCCGCGUGAAGGUCAGUGCCCUAUGGGCGUUAAACUUCUUUUGUGCGGGAGCAAUAAUGGUCACGUGUGGCCAGACGAGAGUACCGUACGAAUAAGCAUCUGCUAACUCCGUGCCAGCAGCCGCGGUAAUACGGGGGAUCCGAGCGUUAUCCGGAUUUAUUGGGUUUAAAGGGAGCGUAGAUGGGUUGUUAAGUCAGUUGUUAAAGAUUGCGGCUCAACCGUAAAAUUGCAAUUGAUACUGGCAGCCUUGAGUACAGUUGAGGUAGGCGGAAUUCGUGGUGUAGCGGUGAAAUGCUUAGAUAUCACGAAGAACCCCGAUUGCGAAGGCAGCCUACUAACCUGCCACUGACAUUGAUGCUCGAAAGUGUGGGUAUCAAACAGGAUUAGAUACCCUAGUAGUC
rnacentral:rRNA from 1 species